rnacentral:misc_RNA from 1 species
CCGAGUUUACAACUCCCAAACCCAAUGUGAACCAUACCAAACUGUUGCCUCGGCGGGGUCACGCCCCGGGUGCGUCGCAGCCCCGGAACCAGGCGCCCGCCGGAGGGACCAACCAAACUCUUUUCUGUAUUUACAGGUCUUAUCUUCUGAGUACAAACACAAACAAGUAA